rnacentral:rRNA from 1 species
AUUGAACGCUGGCGGCAGGCCUAACACAUGCAAGUCGAGCGAGCGGCGGACGGGUGAGUAAUGUCUGGGACACUGCCUGAUGGAGGGGGAUAACUACUGGCAACGGUAGCUAAUACCGCAUACCAUCAGAUGUGCCCAGAUGGGAUGAGCUGGUAGGUGGGGUAACGGCUCAAUUAGGCGACGAGACCUAGGUGGUAUGAGAGGAUGACCAGCCACACUGGAACUGGAGCAGGGUCCAGACUCCUACGGGAGGCAGCAGAGGGGAAUAGUGCACAAUGGGCGCGAGCCUGAUGCAGCCAGGCCGAGAGUAUGAAGAAGGCCUUCGGGUUGUAAAGUACUUUCAGCGGGGAGGCGUUACCCGCAGAAGAAGCACCGGCUAACUCCGUGCCAGCAGCCGCGGUAAUUC